rnacentral:rRNA from 1 species
AUGGAACGCUGGCGGCAUGCUUUACACAUGCAAGUCGAACGGUAACAGGCCGCAAGGUGCUGACGAGUGGCGAACGGGUGAGUAAUGCAUCGGAACGUGCCCAGUCGUGGGGGAUAACUACUCGAAAGAGUAGCUAAUACCGCAUACGAUCUAUGGAUGAAAGCGGGGGACCGUAAGGCCUCGCGCGAUUGGAGCGGCCGAUGUCAGAUUAGGUAGUUGGUGGGGUAAAGGCUCACCAAGCCAACGAUCUGUAGCUGGUCUGAGAGGACGACCAGCCACACUGGGACUGAGACACGGCCCAGACUCCUACGGGAGGCAGCAGUGGGGAAUUUUGGACAAUGGGCGCAAGCCUGAUCCAGCAAUGCCGCGUGCAGGAAGAAGGCCUUCGGGUUGUAAACUGCUUUUGUACGGAACGAAACGGCUCUGGUUAAUACCCGGGGCUAAUGACGGUACCGUAAGAAUAAGCACCGGCUAACUACGUG